UACGAAGGGGGCAAGCGUUGUUCGGAAUUACUGGGCGUAAAGGGCGCGUAGGCGGCUUAUCAAGUCAGGCGUGAAAUUCCCGGGCUCAACCUGGGGGCUGCGCUUGAUACUGAUGAGCUUGAAUGCGGGAGAGGAUAGUGGAAUUCCCAGUGUAGAGGUGAAAUUCGUAGAUAUUGGGAAGAACACCGGUGGCGAAGGCGGCUAUCUGGGCCAUUACUGACGCUGAGGAGCGAAAGCGUGGGGAGCGAACAGG
rnacentral:rRNA from 1 species